GAGAAAAAUUUGCUAAAAAAAUAAAAAAAAGUAAUAAUAUACAUAUUAAGUUGUUUUAUUGAAAAAAUCAAUAUAUGUAUAAUAAAAUUUAUGAUAAUCCAUAAUAAUUUACAAUAUUUGAACUCAUAUUUAAUAUUUAGUUUAUAUAUAUUUAUGAUAAUGCAUAUAUAAUAAUCUUUUUUGAAAUAUAGAUUCAUUUAUUGUUUGAAAUAUUAUAUGGAUUGCUUUAUAAUAAUUUUUUUUUUUUUUUUUGGGGGAAUCAUUCAAUGAAUUUUUCUACUUUGGGGCAACGUUACCACACUGGAUAGGCAGCCUCAUCUCACUUACAGAGCUUGGAGUUCAUGAAUGCCGUCAAUUGAAAUCACUACCAAAAGAGAUGCGUUCCCUUAAAAACCUGCAGAAAUUCUAUAUCUGGGAUUGUCAACAUCUAGAGAAAAUAUGCCGACAGAAAACAGGGGAAGACUGGCCCAGGAUUGCUCAUAUCCCACAUAUUGAUUUCUACACUGAUCAGUGAAUAACAAGGGAGACCACAUAUACAGUCGAUGAUGAUGUACAUGAAACUCAUCAUUUUACUUGGGGUUGAGGCGAGAUUUGAUAUGAUAUCUCUCCCAGAGGAGCUGAUUCAACAUGUUUCCAUGAUCUAAAGUCUCAACAUUAGACAUCGCUCUGUUUUUGAAACAUUACAACACUGGAUAGGCAGCCUCCCCUCAGUUACAGAACUUGGAAUUCAUGGCUGCCAGAAGGUGCUAUGAUGUCUCCCAGAGGAGCUGCCUCAGCAUGUUUCCAGGAUCCAAACUCUCAAAAUUGAAUUCUGCUCUGGUUUUGCAAUAUUACUGCCCUGGAUAGGUCGCUUCACCUCACUUAUGGACCUUCAUAUUUGUGACUGCGCUGAAUUGGCAUCACUUUCAGAAGAGAUGCAUUCCCUCAAAAACCUUCUGACACUAAAAAAUCUUUCAUUGUCGGCACCUGCUUGAAGAUGCCAAAAAGAAACAUUUCAGGUUCAAGAACACAGAGAGCCAUACUUGAUGGAGAUUUCAUCAAUAUAGAGAGGCAUUUCAAGUCUGAAAUCCACCCUUCUCAUUUCUUAUGGCUUCAUUUUGAUUUAAUUUCCUAAUUACAUGAAUUCUAUAUCUGUAAUCCCAGUAUGUAUUAGCACAUAAGUCAAAAGUGAUUUUGAUUUUUUUUAUGUCCACACCUUAUUCAUUUGAUGAAAUGCUUAAACAAGUUUGAAAUUUUUUCCCUUCAAAUCAAUUUCUAAUGCACCAUGAAUUGGUAAUUGAAGUUUGGAAAGAUGUUGGGUUGAUUUAAUUAUUAUUUUGUUGCAGAUUUCAACUUGCUUAAGACGCUUGUGAUUAUUUCUUCUUGGCUCAACUUGAAAUCACUGCCUACGUUCUUCCAUUUCCUACCUCAAAAUCACCUACCAAAAGUUUUGGAUUGGUUAAAAAUUUUCUCAUGGCCCAUAAAUUCGUAUCUAUCAGAUGGCUGAUAUACAAAGGUCCUGCUUUCCUUAGAAAUCAGGUCUACUCUCUGCCAUAUUUUUCAGGCUGGUGUCUCUAUAUUUGGAAAUUCAGAGAGUUGCAAAUUCCAAGGAAUUGGAAGAUUGAGUCGCUGUCUCUACCAUUAGGGCUUCAAUGAGUUACCAUUCUGGAAAUUAUAAAAAAAAAACAUCAGAUUGCCUCAUAUCUUUGAAUCGAAAUCACUGCUAGAAGGAUGUGCUUCCCAACACUCUCAUGGGCUCUUUGACUUUGCCAUCUACAAUACAUCAGAGUGAGCUUAGAAGACGAGAUUUGAAGGACAGUGUUAGUGGGUUUUGGUGGGAAUGUAGAUUUGGUGGACCUAAUGCUACUGCUGUCUGGUUUUAAGAAAAGAGGGUUGCGGUGACGAGAAUGAGGUAAUUUUGGGUCGUGAAUGGAGAAAGAGACGAAUUUGAGGUUGAGGGUUUGAUGAAGGAAGCUACGUUGUGUGAGAUUAUGCUCUGAUCCUUGUUUAGAAUUUUGGGUCUAUUAAAUUCACGUAUAUUGUUUGCCAUUCCAACCCUCUUAUUGCUUUUGAAGACAAUAUUAUUUUUGUAAAAUCCUACCUUCAAAGAUACCAAUUCCUUGUAUUUUUACUUUAAUGGUUAUAAUCUGUAUGUGAUCUUCUUAUUUUAUA